rnacentral:rRNA from 1 species
GAAAGCUAUUUAGGUAGCGCCUCGUGAACUCAUCUCCGGGGGUAGAGCACUGUUUCGGCUAGGGGGCCAUCCCGGCUUACCAACCCGAUGCAAACUGCGAAUACCGGAGAAUGUUAUCACGGGAGACACACGGCGGGUGCUAACGUCCGUCGUGAAGAGGGAAACAACCCAGACCGCCAGCUAAGGUCCCAAAGUCAUGGUUAAGUGGGAAACGAUGUGGGAAGGCCCAGACAGCCAGGAUGUUGGCUUAGAAGCAGCCAUCAUUUAAAGAAAGCGUAAUAGCUCACUGGUCGAGUCGGCCUGCGCGGAAGAUGUAACGGGGCUAAACCAUG